UACAGAGGGGGCAAGCGUUGUUCGGAAUUACUGGGCGUAAAGGGCGCGUAGGCGGCCUGUUAAGUCGAACGUGAAAUCCCUGGGCUCAACCCAGGAACUGCGUCCGAUACUGGCAGGCUUGAAUCCGGGAGAGGGAUGUGGAAUUCCAGGUGUAGCGGUGAAAUGCGUAGAUAUCUGGAGGAACACCGGUGGCGAAGGCGGCAUCCUGGACCGGUAUUGACGCUGAGGCGCGAAAGCCAGGGGAGCAAACGGGG
rnacentral:rRNA from 1 species